rnacentral:rRNA from 1 species
GGUCAAGUUUCUAAGAGCAAACGGUGGAUGCCUUGGCAUCUGGAGCCGAUGAAGGACGUAGAAAUCUGCGAUAAGCCUCGGGGAGCUGAUAAUCGAGCUUUGAUCCGAGGAUUUCCGAAUGGGGAAACCCCGCCAGGCGUUUUGCGACCUGGUGACUCCCGCCUGAAUAUAUAGGGCGGGUAGAGGGAACGUGGGGAAGUGAAACAUCUCAGUACCCACAGGAAGAGAAAACAACAUGUGAUUCCGUGAGUAGUGGCGAGCGAAAGCGGAUGAGGCUAAACCGAUCAUGUGUGAUAGCCGGCGGGCGUUGCAUGGUCGGGGUUGUGGGACACGUCACUCAGUUCUGCCGGACUGGGGCGGUUACAGCGCAUCAUAGUCGAACCGGUUUGAAAGCCGGGCCGUAGUGGGUGCCAGCCCCGUAGACGAAAUGGUGUUAUGGCCGGAUGUGUAUCCCAAGUAGCACGGGGCCCGAGAAAUCCCGUGUGAAUCUGUCAGGACCACCUGAUAAGCCUAAAUACUCCCAGAUGACCGAUAGCGGACAAGUACCGUGAGGGAAAGGUGAAAAGUACCCCGGGAGGGGAGUGAAAUAGUACCUGAAACCGUUUGCUUACAAACCGUCGGAGCCUCCUUAGUAGGGGUGACGGCGUGCCUUUUGAAGAAUGAGCCUGCGAGUUAGUGAUAUGUGGCGAGGUUAACCCGUGAGGGGCAGCCGUAGCGAAAGCGAGUCUGAAUAGGGCGUUUGAGUCGCAUGUUCUAGACCCGAAGCGAAGUGAUCUAUCCAUGGCCAGGUUGAAGCGACGGUAAGACGUCGUGGAGGACCGAACCCACUUCAGUUGAAAAUGGAGGGGAUGAGCUGUGGAUAGGGGUGAAAGGCCAAUCAAACUUCGUGAUAGCUGGUUCUCUCCGAAAUGCAUUUAGGUGCAGCGUUGCGUGUUUCUCGCCGGAGGUAGAGCUACUGGAUGGCCGAUGGGCCUCAACAGGUUACUGACGUCAGCCAAACUCCGAAUGCCGGUGAGUGAGAGCGCAGCAGUGAGACGGUGGGGGAUAAGCUUCAUCGUCGAGAGGGAAACAACCCAGACUACCAACUAAGGUCCCUAAGCGUGUGCUAAGUGGGAAAGGAUGUGGAGUUGCACAGACAACCAGGAGGUUGGCUUAGAAGCAGCCACCCUUGAAAGAGUGCGUAAUAGCUCACUGGUCAAGUGAUUCCGCGCCGACAAUGUAACGGGGCUCAAGCACACCACCGAAGUUGUAGAUUUCGCACUAUAGACAAGCCUUCGUGGUUCAGUCGUGCGGAGUGGUAGGAGAGCGUCGUGUGGCGAGUGAAGCGGCGGAGUGAUCCAGCCGUGGACGCUACACGAGUGAGAAUGCAGGCAUGAGUAGCGAAAGACGGGUGAGAAACCCGUCCUCCGAAAGACCAAGGGUUCCAGGGCCAGGUUAAUCCGCCCUGGGUAAGUCGGGACCUAAGGCGAGGCCGACAGGCGUAGUCGAUGGACAACGGGUUGAUAUUCCCGUACCGGCGAACAACCGCCCAAGCUAAUCCAGUGGUGCUAAGAGUCCUAACCCGGUACAACCGGAUCCCUUCGGGGUGAUGGUGGCCGGUCUAACGCUCGACCCCA